rnacentral:rRNA from 1 species
UACGGAGGGUGCAAACGUUGCUCGGAAUUAUUGGGCGUAAAGCGCACGUAGGCGGUCUAGCAAGUCGGGUGUGAAAGGCCCUCAGCUUAACUGAGGAAGUGCAUUCGAAACUACUAGGCUUGAGUACUGAAGAGGACGACGGAAUUCCCGGAUGUAGAGGUGAAAUUCGAUAGAUAUCGGGAGGAACACCAGUGGCGAAGG